AAGCUGUGAUGAUUACAGCGUAUACUAGUGGAGAUAGGGUUCUUCAUAAUUGUCUGAUUUAAAAAUGACUACCAAGCGCUUCUGAGCUU